CCAGCAGCUGCGGUAAUUCCAGCUCUAAUAGCGUAUAUUAAAGUUGUUGCAGUUAAAAAGCUCGUAGUCGGAUGUCGGGGUCGGGCAGGCUGUUGGCCUCUGGUCGAAUGGCAGGCUCGGCUCUUUUUGCCUGGGGACCCCGUCACACUUAACUGUGGGGCGGGUGUACGCAGGCCGUUUACUUUGAAAAAAUUAGAGUGUUCAAAGCAGGCCUACGCUUGAAUACAUUAGCAUGGAAUAAUGGAAUAGGACUUUGGUGCUAUUUUGUUGGUUUAUGGGACCGAAGUAAUGAUUAAUAGGGACAGUUGGGGCCGUUUAUAUUUCGUUGUCAGAGGUGAAAUUCUUGGAUUUACGAAAGAUAAACUUGUGCGAAAGCAUUCGGCAAGGAUGUUUUCAUUGAUCAAGAACGAAAGU
rnacentral:rRNA from 1 species